rnacentral:rRNA from 1 species
UAUGAUGGCCAUAGCACCCUGAACACACCAAACUUGGCUGAUCUCGGAAGCAAGCAGGGUCAGGCGUGGUUAGGACUUGGAUGGGAGCCUAGGAAUACUGGGUGCUACAGGC